AACACAUCACUACAGACAAGAAGGACAAACACAAGAGAGCAGAUGAUGAUACUCAGCAGAACUGUCCUAAAGCUUUCACAUCAUGUCUGAUUCCACCUGUAAUGUGGGUCAUCAUCUUGUUACUUGAUGGAGAUUACUUUGCUUGUGCCAUGACAUAUUGGAAGGGAAUCUUCGCGUUUGACAAUCAGCUCAACAGGUCGUGGUGUAAACCUAUCGAAAAGUUCAGAAAUGUGACAGCGCUACGAAAUUUGACUCAAACACAUAUCCAUCAAUCUCAGAUAUAUGGUUAUGGUGUGAGCACUGUCUUCAUCGUCUUUCCAAUUAUCUAUGUGGGAAUUUGUGACUGCUGUGGAAAAUCUGCCUGCUGAUUCAAAGCUGGACAUGACUGAACACAAAUGGAUACAACCAUGAACAACACGCUUUCUACACUGCUGAAAACAGGAACACAGACUUAUCAGUGUUAUUUGUACUAUAAAAAGAAAAACAAACAAACAAACAAAAAAAACCCUUUUAAAAUAUAGAUUAAUGUUUAUCUGUUGUAUGUACUAGUCCAGUGUCUACACACUUUGAUUGUUACUAAUAUAAAUCUGCCUGUUGUUCUCCAGCAUCACACAGACCAAUAAUAGCCAAGUUGUCUAACUUAUAUCUUGUCUCAUAUACUUGUUUCAUAAUACUUUAUAUGCAUUCAAAAAGUAAAAAGUUGAGCUUAAAAAGUAUAUUGUG